CGGUCUUCCGAUCUCCGUAAAACUCACUAGGAUAAGCGGUAUUAUUGAACCAGACGAAACAACAAGCGAUGAAACCAAAGACAGAUAAAGCACCUAAACUAUAAGUUUCCUGAGUGAGGAGAAUGAACCUCUUCGGCAAAUAGAUAAUAAGGUCAAAAAACCCAAAAGGGCAGUCAUCGUGUAAAGAGUAAGAUCAAGUAAAAUAUAUUGGAUUAGAUAGAGCCGAUGAAGAAAAGGAAAGCAGGUCAGUUUCAUCGGGUUAUUUCCAGUCUAGUCUAGAAUCAACACCAAACGAAGCUUCAUCUUAACGGAAUUUUUUCCUCGCCUAUCUUUGGCUGCUUGUGAGGAUGCUUCUGUUGGACCUAUUCGACCCCAUGUUUCGUCGAUAGCAUUUUCUGAUUUGGGAUGCGUAGUAGCUGUUGUCACAGUAGGGGUCCUAAGGCGGGAAUUGUCCUAAAGUAGCCAUAGCGUUGAUUGCUCUCCUUGUUCUAUUGUAUGGGCGAAUUAUCUUAAUGAAAGCCUUCUUUUUGGCUCUCGUGUGAGGGUUGUCAUAACUUGUGUCUAUCUGCUGUUAAAUUACUUUAUAGAGUCCUACGUUCGGCAUACACAUUCACAAGUUCCAUUCGGUACCUUUCGCUAGAUGGAAUCCCGAUUCGACUUUGAAAUGCAAGAGCAAGAAUGCCAUGAGGGAGCCCUAUCUCAGAAAUUUUAAUAUGCUAUUUUUUCAUGUUUUCUGCACAUUCUAUCUAUUAUUUUUCCCCUACAUCAUACUGUCACGAUAUUAUAAGUAAACUUAUUUAUUCAUGUAAGCAAUUAACCUGAUGCCCUAAAGAGAAUAUACCUUCACAUUUUCCUU